UGGACUUAGGGCAGGUGCGCUGCAGGCUUUCGGGCCUAGGUGCCUCCCAGGGAAGACUGCUGGGGGAUCUCCCCUCUAGCCUGCGUCAGAGCGUCCUGAACCAGCCCAGCCCAGGGCCCCUGUAACCUGGGCCCCCUUUCCUCACAGACAUUGAUGAGAGCCAGAGGGUGGCAGAGACGCUGCAGGUCCUCCAGACGCUGCCCGAGGAGAACUACCAGGUGCUUCGUUUCCUGACUGCUUUCCUGGUGCAGGAUCCGGGUGGACAGCUGGGAAGAGCCACGUCUGAGAUAAUCUGACUGAAAACGGGACAAAGUGCUCCACGAUGGAAGCACCCUGCUGCCCUCAGCAGGGACUGUGACCAGGACAGAAGUGAUGGAGGACAAGCAGCAGCUGAUGUCGAGGACUUCCUGAAGCCAAGGACGCCCCAGGGUGGGCGUGGCCUCCCCAGCAAGCUGUCUCCUGAAAACCAGGUGCUUUCUACCCCCACCCACGGACUUCCUCCCACUUCACUUAUUAUCUGGGCAGAAGGCUGUCACCUGGUACAUCAGACACAGAAAGAACUACAGAAAAGGCCAUGUGCCUCCUCUGCCAGCCCCAGGCCAAGCUCUUGCCCAUUCUGGCUGGGCCACGCGGCGGGCUUGGACAAGGCUCUGCCUGCCUUGUGAGGAGCAGCGGGAAGAGCAUUCAGAAGACUAGAGAGAGAGAAUUCCUAGAUGGCACUGGAAGACCCAGCUUGUGGCCCUGGCUUGCCAGGACUGGCUGAGACUCCCAAUUCAGGCCCUUCCCCUUCUGCCGCUGCCCCCUGGGUCUGUCCCUCAGCUCACACUUCCUCCUGCUCGCACGCAACCAUCCAGGAUCUCAAAGAGCGGCUUGGGACAGUGCCAGAAUUUUACAUUUCAGAGUGCUUCAAUCUGGUCAGGAAAGGAGUGCAUCUUUCUAAAAUUUACCAAUAGAAAACAGAAAGCAGGGCAAGAUGGUCUCACUCUACUACACACCCCGAGGACAACAGCAGGAGGUGAGUUUGCUCGCCUGUGAGCCCAGAGCUGGCUCAACCAUAAACGGGUCUUUCAAGCCUCGGCAUUCAACCAGUCUUCAGCCCUGAGUCAGGACGUGUCUGGACCGGCCAGAGUUAUUACGUAUGUUUGGCUCGCAGAACCCACGUUGGUACAGAAACCACUGACACUAAAGGCACAAAAUAAGACAACA